rnacentral:rRNA from 1 species
UGCAGUCGAACGAUGAAGCCCAGCUUGCUGGGCGGAUUAGUGGCGAACGGGUGAGUAAUACGUGAGUAACCUGCCUUUAACUCUGGGAUAAGCCUUGGAAACGGGGUCUAAUACCGGAUACGACCAACCCUCGCAUGGGGUGUUGGUGGAAAGGGAUUUUGUACUGGUUUUAGAUGGGCUCACGGCCUAUCAGCUUGUUGGUGAGGUAACGGCUCACCAAGGCGACGACGGGUAGCCGGCCUGAGAGGGUGACCGGCCACACUGGGACUGAGACACGGCCCAGACUCCUACGGGAGGCAGCAGUGGGGAAUAUUGCACAAUGGGCGCAAGCCUGAUGCAGCGACGCCGCGUGAGGGAUGACGGCCUUCGGGUUGUAAACCUCUUUCAGCAGGGGAGAAGCGAAAGUGACGGUACCUGCAGAAGAAGCGCCGGCUAACUACGUGCCAGCAGCCGCGGUAAUACGUAGGGCGCGAGCGUUGUCCGGAAUUAUUGGGCGUAAAGAGCUUGUAGGCGGUUUGUCGCGUCUGCUGUGAAAGCCCGGGGCUUAACCCCGGGUUUGCAGUGGGUACGGGCAGACUAGAGUGCAGUAGGGGAGACUGGAAUUCCUGGUGUAGCGGUGAAAUGCGCAGAUAUCAGGAGGAACACCAAUGGCGAAGGCAGGUCUCUGGGCUGUAACUGACGCUGAGAAGCGAAAGCAUGGGGAGCAAACAGGAUUAGAUACCCUGGUAGUCCAUGCCGUAAACGUUGGGCACUAGGUGUGGGGAACAUUCCACGUUUUCCGCGCCGUAGCUAACGCAUUAAGUGCCCCGCCUGGGGAGUACGGCCGCAAGGCUAAAACUCAAAGAAAUUGACGGGGGCCCGCACAAGCGGCGGAGCAUGCGGAUUAAUUCGAUGCAACGCGAAGAACCUUACCAAGGCUUGACAUAUACUAGACCGCCUCAGAGAUGGGGUUUCCCUUCGGGGCUGGUAUACAGGUGGUGCAUGGUUGUCGUCAGCUCGUGUCGUGAGAUGUUGGGUUAAGUCCCGCAACGAGCGCAACCCUCGUUCUAUGUUGCCAGCACGUAAUGGUGGGGACUCAUAGGAGACUGCCGGGGUUAACUCGGAGGAAGGUGGGGAUGACGUCAAAUCAUCAUGCCCCUUAUGUCUUGGGCUUCACGCAUGCUACAAUGGCCGGUACAAAGGGUUGCGAUACUGUGAGGUUGAGCUAAUCCCAAAAAGCCGGUCUCAGUUCGGAUUGGGGUCUGCAACUCGACCCCAUGAAGUCGGAGUCGCUA